rnacentral:rRNA from 1 species
UGGGGAAUAUUGCACAAUGGGCGCAAGCCUGAUGCAGCCAUGCCGCGUGUGUGAAGAAGGCCUUCGGGUUGUAAAGCACUUUCAGCGAGGAGGAAGGUGGUGAGCUUAAUACGCUCAUCAAUUGACGUUACUCGCAGAAGAAGCACCGGCUAACUCCGUGCCAGCAGCCGCGGUAAUACGGAGGGUGCAAGCGUUAAUCGGAAUUACUGGGCGUAAAGCGCACGCAGGCGGUUUGUUAAGUCAGNUGUGAAAUCCCCGGGCUCAACCUGGGAACUGCAUUUGAAACUGGCAAGCUAGAGUCUCGUAGAGGGGGGUAGAAUUCCAGGUGUAGCGGUGAAAUGCGUAGAGAUCUGGAGGAAUACCGGUGGCGAAGGCGGCCCCCUGGACGAAGACUGACGCUCAGGUGCGAAAGCGUGGGGCAGCAAACAGGAUUAGAUACCCUGGUAG